rnacentral:rRNA from 1 species
UGGGGAAUUUUGGACAAUGGGCGAAAGCCUGAUCCAGCAAUGCCGCGUGUGUGAAGAAGGCCUUCGGGUUGUAAAGCACUUUUGUCCGGAAAGAAAUCCUUGGCUCUAAUACAGUCGGGGGAUGACGGUACCGGAAGAAUAAGCACCGGCUAACUACGUGCCAGCAGCCGCGGUAAUACGUAGGGUGCAAGCGUUAAUCGGAAUUACUGGGCGUAAGCGUGCGCAGGCGGUUUGCUAAGACCGAUGUGAAAUCCCCGGGCUCAACCUGGGAACUGCAUUGGUGACUGGCAGGCUAGAGUAUGGCAGAGGGGGGUAGAAUUCCACGUGUAGCAGUGAAAUGCGUAGAGAUGUGGAGGAAUACCGAUGGCGAAGGCAGCCCCCUGGGCCAAUACUGACGCUCAUGCACGAAAGCGUGGGGAGCAAACAGGAUUAGAUACCCUGGUAGUCCACGCCCUAAACGAUGUCAACUAGUUGUUGGGGAUUCAUUUCCUUAGUAACGUAGCUAACGCGUGAAGUUGACCGCCUGGGGAGUACGGUCGCAAGAUUAAAACUCAAAGGAAUUGAC